rnacentral:rRNA from 1 species
GAUGAACGCUAGCGGGAGGCUUAACACAUGCAAGUCGAGGGGCAUCACGAGGUAGCAAUACUUUGGUGGCGACCGGCGCACGGGUGAGUAACGCGUAUGCAACCUACCCUGUACAGGGGGAUAGCCCGGAGAAAUUCGGAUUAAUACCCCAUAAUGAUAUUUUAUGGCAUCAUAAAAUAUUUAAAGCUCAGGCGGUACGGGAUGGGCAUGCGUAACAUUAGCUAGUUGGUAGGGUAAUGGCCUACCAAGGCGACGGUGUUUAGGGGUCCUGAAAGGGUGAUACCCCACACUGGGACUAAGACACGGACCAGACUCCUACGGGAGGCAGCAGUGAGGAAUAUUGGUCAAUGGGCGCGAGCCUGAACCAGCCAUCCCGCGUGAAGGAAGACUGCCCUAUGGGUUGUAAACUUCUUUUCCAGGGGAAUAAAAUCUCGAACGAGUUCGGGACUGAAGGUACCCUGGGAAUAAGCAUCGGCUAACUCCGUGCCAGCCGCCGCAGUAACAC